AUUGAACGCUGGCGGCAUGCCUUACACAUGCAAGUCGAACGGUAACGAGCCUUCGGGUGCCGACGAGUGGCGAACGGGUGAGUAAUACAUCGGAACGUGCCCGAUCGUGGGGGAUAACGAGGCGAAAGCUUUGCUAAUACCGCAUACGAUCUACGGAUGAAAGCAGGGGACCGCAAGGCCUUGCGCUGACGGAGCGGCCGAUGGCAGAUUAGGUAGUUGGUGGGAUAAAAGCUUACCAAGCCGACGAUCUGUAGCUGGUCUGAGAGGAUGAUCAGCCACACUGGGACUGAGACACGGCCCAGACUCCUACGGGAGGCAGCAGUGGGGAAUUUUGGACAAUGGGCGCAAGCCUGAUCCAGCCAUGCCGCGUGCAGGAUGAAGGCCUUCGGGUUGUAAACUGCUUUUGUACGGAACGAAAAGCCUUCUUUUAAUACAGGAGGGUCAUGACGGUACCGGAAGAAUAAGCACCGGCUAACUACGUG
rnacentral:rRNA from 1 species